GACGAACGCUGGCGGCGUGCCUAAUACAUGCAAGUAGAACGCUGAAGAGAGGAGCUUGCUCUUCUUGGAUGAGUUGCGAACGGGUGAGUAACGCGUAGGUAACCUGCCUUGUAGCGGGGGAUAACUAUUGGAAACGAUAGCUAAUACCGCAUAACAAUGGAUGACCCAUGUCAUUUAUUUGAAAGGGGCAAAUGCUCCACUACAAGAUGGACCUGCGUUGUAUUAGCUAGUAGGUGAGGUAACGGCUCACCUAGGCGACGAUACAUAGCCGACCUGAGAGGGUGAUCGGCCACACUGGGACUGAGACACGGCCCAGACUCCUACGGGAGGCAGCAGUAGGGAAUCUUCGGCAAUGGGGGCAACCCUGACCGAGCAACGCCGCGUGAGUGAAGAAGGUUUUCGGAUCGUAAAGCUCUGUUGUAAGUCAAGAACGAGUGUGAGAGUGGAAAGUUCACACUGUGACGGUAGCUUACCAGAAAGGGACGGCUAACUACGUGCCAGCAGCCGCGGUAAUACGUAGGUCCCGAGCGUUGUCCGGAUUUAUUGGGCGUAAAGCGAGCGCAGGCGGUUUGAUAAGUCUGAAGUUAAGGCUGUGGCUCAACCAUAGUUCGCUUUGGAAACUGUCAAACUUGAGUGCAGAAGGGGAGAGUGGAAUUCCAUGUGUAGCGGUGAAAUGCGUAGAUAUAUGGAGGAACACCGGUGGCGAAAGCGGCUCUCUGGUCUGUAACUGGCGCUGAGGCUCGAAAGCGUGGGGAGCGAACAGGAUUAGAUACCCUGGUAGUCCACGCCGUAAACGAUGAGUGCUAGGUGUUGGAUCCUUUCCGGGAUUCAGUGCCGCAGCUAACGCAUUAAGCACUCCGCCUGGGGAGUACGACCGCAAGGUUGAAACUCAAAGGAAUUGACGGGGGCCCGCACAAGCGGUGGAGCAUGUGGUUUAAUUCGAAGCAACGCGAAGAACCUUACCAGGUCUUGACAUCCCGAUGCUAUUUCUAGAGAUAGAAAGUUACUUCGGUACAUCGGUGACAGGUGGUGCAUGGUUGUCGUCAGCUCGUGUCGUGAGAUGUUGGGUUAAGUCCCGCAACGAGCGCAACCCCUAUUGUUAGUUGCCAUCAUUCAGUUGGGCACUCUAGCGAGACUGCCGGUAAUAAACCGGAGGAAGGUGGGGAUGACGUCAAAUCAUCAUGCCCCUUAUGACCUGGGCUACACACGUGCUACAAUGGUUGGUACAACGAGUUGCGAGUCGGUGACGGCAAGCUAAUCUCUUAAAGCCAAUCUCAGUUCGGAUUGUAGGCUGCAACUCGCCUACAUGAAGUCGGAAUCGCUAGUAAUCGCGGAUCAGCACGCCGCGGUGAAUACGUUCCCGGGCCU
rnacentral:rRNA from 1 species